AAAGAUUAAGCCAUGCAUGUCUAGUAUAAACAAAUUUAUACUGUGAAACUGCGAAUGGCUCAUUAAAUCAGUUAUAGUUUAUUUGAUGGUACAUUGCUACAUGGAUAACUGUGGUAAUUCUAGAGCUAAUACAUGCAAUCAAGCCCCGACUUCCGGAAGGGGUGUAUUUAUUAGAUAAAAAACCAAUGCCCUUCGGGGCUCUCUGGUGAUUCAUAAUAACUUCUCGAAUCGCACGGCCUUGUGCCGGCGAUGGUUCAUUCAAAUUUCUGCCCUAUCAACUUUCGACGGCUGGGUCUUGGCCAGCCGUGGUGA
rnacentral:rRNA from 1 species